rnacentral:rRNA from 1 species
GAUGAACGCUGGCGGCGUGCCUAAUACAUGCAAGUCGAACGAGGUGCUUUUGUAGCAAUACGGAAGUAUCCUAGUGGCGAACGGGUGAGUAACGCGUGGGUGACCUGCCCCAAAGUGUGGAAUAACAGUCCGAAAGGAUUGCUAAUACCGCAUGUGGUCAUUGGGUUUAGAAACUAAUGACUAAAGCAGCAAUGCGCUUUGGGAGGGACCUGCGUCCCAUCAGCUAGUUGGUGAGGUAACGGCUCACCAAGGCGACGACGGGUAGGGGACCUGGGAGGGUGGCCCCCCAAAAUGGAACUGAAACACGGUCCAUACACCUACGGGUGGCAGCAGUAGGGAAUAUUGCUCAAUGGGCGAAAGCCUGAAGCAGCAACGCCGCGUGCGCGAUGAAGGUCUUCGGAUCGUAAAGCGCUUUUAUGCGAGAUGAGAAAGGACAGUAUCGCAGGAAUAAGUCUCGGCUAACUACGUGCCAGCCGCCGCCGUAA